GGGCGGUUAGCUCAGUUGGUUAGAGCAUCUCGUUUACACCGAGAGGGUCGGGGGUUCGAAUCCCUCACUGCCCACCA
rnacentral:tRNA from 1 species